UCCGUUGUGGUCUAGGGGCUAGGAUUUGCCGCUCUCAGCUCCGAGAGUUAUCUCACUUCAAGUGCCGGCAAGGCCCGGGUUCGAUUCCCGGCGACGGAA
rnacentral:tRNA from 2 species